rnacentral:lncRNA from 1 species
UUUCCAGGGUCAUUUGCCUUGCUUUUGCAGAAACAACAGGAUGGCACUGAGAUCUGAACUCUGACUCUCUGCUGUUUCUGCUGUUCUGGAUGCUGAUGCUGCUCUUUCACAACAGCUGAGUUAGAUCCAGAUGGACAUCACACACAGAGCUCAAAAUGAAAACAGAAAAGUACUUUUCCUACCAGCAAUUUUUGAAGAAUAAAGAAAAGAAAAUUCUGUAGGAUGGGGAAGAAAGGAAUAUCCAAGGCUAUGCUACCACAGGGAAGCAAAAAGGAGGAAAAUUGCAGACAAAACCAGUUAAAAGUCUUGCUUGGGAAGAGAGAUCUGCUGGCUGCAUUGCUCCCAUCACCAGCUGCUGGGACAUGGUGAAUUGGAUGCCAGGAAAGGGGAUUUCACUCCAUGUGGAAGUGUCAGGGAUGUGGCACACUGCCAGCU